rnacentral:rRNA from 1 species
GUCUAUGGCCAUGCUACCCUGAACAAGCCCGAUCCCUUCUGAUCUCGGAAGCUAAGCAGGGUCGGGCCUGGUUAGUACUUGGGUGGGAGACCACUUAGGAAGACCAGGUGCUGUAGACA